CUUAUACAGUUUACAAUGUAAAAAGGCACAGAGAAAGAAACAAAUAUUAAAUAUAAUGUCAGAGAUGGAUAAUUGCUGUGAACAAAAAUUAAAAUUAGGGUAAAUAAUUAGAGUGUGGUGGAGGGGACCAUUUUAAAUAGCCUCAUUAUGGUAGGGUUCUCUGAGGAGAUGACAUUUGGACAGAAAUCUACAGGAAGAGGGACAGACUGCAAGACUCUCUCCAGGUGACACCAAGUUCAGAUGCUGGCGGAAAAGAAUGGUGGGAACGUUCAAGGCUCAGCAAGAAGGAGCCGGGACUGGGAACAACUGGGAGACUCAUCUCUCCUUGUCCUACUCCCAGUGACACCGUCAGUAACUCACUCAGCAAUAACACAGAACCCUAGGAGUUCAUGACAGUUGCUUUACAGCAUCGUGUCAGUUUCUGCCCUACAACAACACGAAUCAGUCACAGAGAUUGAGCAAGAAAGAAAGGACCUAAGGACUGGGAGUUAAGAAAUGAAAUGUUAAAAGGAGGUUGAAACAGAUAAAAGCAAGAGAACUGGAACACAGAGAAGAGGGCUGCUUGCCCCCGAGUCAGCCAAGGAUUUACACUGCUAAGAGACCUUGACAUCUGAACACUUCCUUCCUUCCCUGAAGUUUUAGCAACACACCCAGGGGACUGGACAAGAACCACCAAGAAGCAGGAACUACCAUGAAGCAAGAGCUUCAUCCUCUGUGUCUGCAUCAAAUCCCCAGCCCUAGUACUGCCCACCCCCACACUUCUCCCUACUUCAGGCCAAUGACAAGAAGCAGGAAGAACUAAAUUUGUCAGAGAUACUCUCCGUAAGAUCUCAAAGGCCCGCCAUUCCUCUCCUUUUGGCUCCACUUCCGGUCACGUUCCCCUUGAGCAGUCAGUACUCCAAGGAAGGGGAAUAAGAGCCACUCUUCAUAGCUGAGCACCAUCUCCAGAGCUCUAAGACCCCACUUGAAGGUUUUAAAGUCAGUGAAAUUCAUUAUUCUAUGGGAUUCCCUGCCCCUUACAUGCUUUCCUUUGCCCACAAGUAAAACAACCAACAAAAGAUCAAUGAUUAUUCUCAAAACAAAGAGGAAAAUGUAUUUUUCAAAGGAGUUUGAUGGUUGGCUUGAUUUGAGAAAAAAUGUUCCUGAAUUUCAAUUAUCUUGAAAUUCUUAAAUUUAAAUUGAGCAUUAAUGGAUUGGAGGUAGAGAAUAGAUUUAUUUUGUUUAUAUUCUAUAACAAAGCCACUCUACUAAAUUCAAAAUUAAUAUUUUUACCCAAAAAAGGUUCAAACAUUUUUAACAAUAUUUUCCCCUUCAGGUCAAUCUUCUUGUAUAUUCAAGUGCAUCUUGCUAAUCUUGUGUGGGUAAAUGUAUGUUAAUAUUAUCACAGUUAUUUAAGCAUUGCCUUCAAAUAUUUUAAAGCAUUGAUUUCCUUCCUUUAACCAAAUACAUAUUAACAGAGUCAUAAUAAUAAAGCAUGAUUUAUUUAAAAAAUUUUAACAGAAAAGCUACAAGG
ensembl:lncRNA